rnacentral:rRNA from 1 species
AUUGAACGCUGGCGGCAGGCCUAACACAUGCAAGUCGAACGAGUGGCGGACGGGUGAGUAAUGUCUGGGAAACUGCCUGAUGGAGGGGGAUAACUACUGGAAACGGUAGCUAAUACCGCAUACUAUCGGAUGUGCCCAGAUGGGAUUCGCUAGUGGGGGGGGUAACGGCUCACCUAGGCGACGAUCCCUCGCUGGUCUGAGAGGAUGACCAGCCACACUGGAACUGAGAAACGGUCCAGACUCCUACGGGAGGCAGCAGUGGGGAAUAUUGCACAAUGGGCGCAAGCCUGAUGCAGCCAUGCCGCGUGUAUGAAGAAGGCCUUCGGGUUGUAAAGUACUUUCAGCGGGGAGGCGUUACCAACAGAAUAAGCACCGGCUAACUUCGUGCCAGCAGCCGCGGUAAUAC